UCAGCAAGAAAUCAGAUUUGUGCAGCCUUUGCAGUUUUAGAUCUCCACCAAAAGCGUUUUUGAUACUGGCAACAAACUGAAAAUUCAUUGUUUUUGUCUUGUCUUGCCCUUCUAAUAAACAAGCGGGAAUGUACCAGGCACAUGUAAAAGUGAAACUCCUCUCAUCCUCACUGAAUAAGACUACAGAGCCAUCAAUGAAAUUAAAGGAUAUGAAAUUCCAGCUCUGUGAAAGGGGAAAUCAUGGCCACGGUGAUCUCUUUGCCGCAAGCAGCGUUAUUCAAAACGCAGUCAGGAAAUCUGGCUCACCAGGACCUGCAUGAUUGUUAGAAAAGUUGAUGGGAAAGUGCUGGUAAAUGGUGCAUGGUGCUCAAGUCGACCUCCAAGCUUUAGAGAUGAACUUAUUUGCAACGCUAAUGUCCCAAGGACUUCAAGAGGGCAACAACCCGCACUUAAGGGUCUUCCUGAAGAGAGACACUUCGGUCCUCAGGUCCGUGAUUGAGAAAGGAGAGGUACCAGUAAGUUAUGUGAAGGCUUGAGCAUGAAGGCAGGGAAAUGAAAUAUCAAGCCACAAACUGACGUGACUUUGAUUGUCAGAAAACACAUCUGCAACUCUUGGCCUCCUUGACAUUGCUUCCUUCUCGCUGAGCAGGCAUCCACAUCGAGGAGAUGAGGAGGAGGACUUGGAGAAUAUUUUGCACAGUUAUUUUGAACAGAUUUUAUAUUUAGCAAGUCUAAACAUGAUAUGAGAAGUAAAUAAAUCAAAGCAGCAAACACAACAGAAGAAAGAGAGAAGCCACAAUGCAGUUUUUGAGCCUGUCCAAAACGCGUGGGUUUGAAAUACGCUCACUCAGUGAUGUAUUUGGAAACGCUGCACAUUCAGCCGUGAGACUGGAAACACAGUGCAAGAGUUUGCAAAUGGCUGCUGCGUGCUAAAUAACAUCAAAUGGGG